UUGGUGCGUCUAGGACUCUGGGGAGGCUCGUCUGGGGGAGGAAACGGAUUUUCAGGGUUUUCCCCCCGUAGUGUUAUAUAUUUAGCUGGGAUAACAUUAAAGUUGUGGAUAUUAUUAUUUUUUUAUUUGCUUGUUUUUUGGCGUUAACAUUUGUUACCUGGCUGCUCUGAGUGACUUGUUUUCAGCAACACGAUUGCUAACAAGUAGUUAGCCUAGCCAGCUAGCCCAAGCGGCUCGUCGUGAGACGCUGCAGAGGAGAAGUCCAGUCCGUUUUUUGCGCCCUAAUCUGAAACCAGCGUUGUUUUCACCGCGGCUGGCUGGCUGGGUGAAGCAGACUACGUAACGUUAGCUCGCACGCCGACGCUAGCACACUGUAGUUGGAUUUUACACCGGGCGGGUGUCUUCUGUGGAGGGAUACUGCAAGUCGCUACACUGGCAAGGAGACCGGCUAAAAAGAAGAGGCGAAAUAAGAGCGUGCAAGGAACACGCCGAGAAGGAGGCGACUGGCUGGACUAGCCGGGGAGACACUUUCCCAACAUAGACAACAGAUUUCGUACACCCAGCCAUGAGUAUUGAGAUACCGGUGGGGUUGACAGAACUGCUGCAGGGCUACACUGUGGAGGUGCUGCGACAAAGGCCGUCAGACUUGGUGGAUUUUGCUGUACAGUACUUCACCCGUUUGCGGGACACCAGAAGUCAGGAUGGGGCUGGUGCAGCUGGAAAAAUGGGGAAAGGAGUGAUGUUUGACGGGGAGCCAAUGCAAACAGAGUCCAACGGGG